CAACUAAGCUAAAGAUCACAUUGAGCCUUCAAAGGGGUAGAAUGAUUCAUCAUCAUCUUCUUUACAAAUCUAGGUAGGGUUUAGAUUAUUUGUAUUAGUUGCAGUUGUUAAUGUGUGGGGUUAUUGAUGGAUCUUGUCAGCUGUUUAAGAAAAUGCCUUAGAGAAAUUUUGUUACUUGGGCAGUUAUGAUUUUUGCAUAUGCAGACUGUGGGAAUGAUCAAGGCUAAAGUUGUUCUUGUUAAAGUAGGCAUGCCCAAGGGACAAGACAUAUAUAGGGAAAGCAAUAAUUUGAGAGUAAUUAAGCUUAAAUGUCUUAUACUGGUAGCCCUUGAAACUUAUGGCAGUAAUUAACCUUAAGAAUCAUUGGCUACUAGGGAGUACAAACUGAGUUUUGGUCGCACAAAGCUGACAAGUGGAAUUGACAAGGGACUGUCCAACUUAGAUGGGUAUGUGAAAGGAAAUGAGCUUCUUGCGCGGUUCAAGGUAGUGCGGCAGGGAAAGAACAAUUGCAAAAAUGCCGUUUCUUGAGUAAGUAAUUUUCUCCCCCUUCUCCAAUAAUGGUAAUACGUAUAUUCUACUUCCAUCUGUUUUUGUUUUCUUUUCUGUUUAUAAUUAUCUGUUUUUUUUUCUAUUGAGUAGUUUGAUGUUUUAAUAGAUUUGAUUUCAAUAAAUAAACUUCAAUCCUUUAUGUCUGUCAACCCUCUCAUUGCAUUUGUUUCAUCCCAUGUAACAUUAGUUAGGAAGAUAAGAAAGAUGUUAAAUGCACUCGCAGAUUCAUUACUGAGUACAGAACACGAGAAAUAGUAGAAACUGAUCCAUCAUAACACUAUGAAAACAUCUACUUGUAAAUGUUUACAAAAUCAAAUUAGUAAUAAGAUCAAGUAACAGGCUUACAAGUUAAAAUCACAUUAAUCAAAUUUAUAACAAGAUCAAGUACAGUUUAUUGUAUCAGUCCUUGGAUGAAGCUUGAU
rnacentral:lncRNA from 1 species